GGGGAUCUAGCUCAAAUGGUAGAGCGCUCGCUUUGCAAGUCAGAAGUGACUCAAAUUUGCGAGAGGCACAGGGAUCGAUGCCCUGGAUCUCCA